rnacentral:rRNA from 1 species
GACGAACGCUGGCGGCGUGCCUAAUACAUGCAAGUAGAACGCUGAAGGAGGAGCUUGCUUCUCUGGAUGAGUUGCGAACGGGUGAGUAGCGCGUAGGUAACCUGCCUGGUAGCGGGGGAUAACUAUUGGAAACGAUAGCUAACACCGCAUAAGAGUAGAUGUUGCAUGACAUUUGCUUAAAAGGUGCAAUUGCAUCACUACCAGAUGGACCUGCGUUGUAUUAGCUAGUUGGUGAGGUAACGGCUCACCAAGGCGACGAUACAUAGCCGACCUGAGAGGGUGAUCGGCCACACUGGGACUGAGACACGGCCCAGACUCCUACGGGAGGCAGCAGUAGGGAAUCUUCGGCAAUGGACGGAAGUCUGACCGAGCAACGCCGCGUGAGUGAAGAAGGUUUUCGGAUCGUAAAGCUCUGUUGUAAGAGAAGAUCGAGUGUGAGAGUGGAAAGUUCACACUGUGACGGUAUCUUACCAGAAAGGGACGGCUAACUACGUGC